rnacentral:rRNA from 1 species
CGCCGUAAACGAUCAUCACUCGCUGUUGGCGAUAUACUGUCAGCGUCCAGUCGAAAGUAAUAAGUGAUCGCACCUGGGGAGUACGCCGGCAACGGUGAAACUCAAAGGAAUUGACGGGGGCCCGCACAAGCGAUGGAGCAUGUGGUGUAAUUCGAUGAUACGCGAGGAACCUUACCAGGGCUUAAAUGUAGUAUGACCGGUCUAGAUAUAGGCCUUCUCUUCGGAGCAGAUUACGAGGUGCUGCAUGUUUGUCGUCAGAUCGUGCCGUGAGGUGUUAGGUUAAGUCCUGCAACGAGCGCAACCCGUAUUAUUAGUUGCCACCGGUUCGGCCGGGGAUUAUAAGAAGAUUGCCAGCGCAAGCUGAGAGGAAGGUGGGGACGACGUCAAAUCAUCACGUCCCUUACGUCCUGGGCUACACACGUGAUACGAUGGUACAGACAGAGGACAGCCACAUGGCGACAGGGAGCGUAUCCUUAAACUGUAUCUCAGUUCGGAUCGGAAUGUGCAACUCGAAUCCGUGAAGCUGGAAUCGCUAGUAAUCGCGCAUCAGCCAUGGCUCGGUGAAUACGUUCACGGGCCUAGUACACACCGCCCGUCAAGCCAUGGAAGCUGGGGGUACCUGAAGUCGGUAACCGAAAGG